rnacentral:lncRNA from 1 species
CUGACAUGAUUCUCCUGAUCAGGAGGUCGUGUACAAUGAUCCCCAUACUCACUCUUGAGUCUAGGACGGUGCCUUGCCUCUCCUGGGCCAUCCCUGGUCUUUCCACACAUUGAUGGUGUGUGAUACAAGCUCUCUAUAGAGCUCAUAUCAGCAUGAAUAACGUUUUGUCUUGGUCUAGGAUUAUGAAGCCAAAGCUGCAAGUCUUUAUGUAGUUGAUGCAAUUCGGACUUGCUUUCUUUUAUCCUGUUUUUGCUGCUGAUUUGAGCUACACUCCCCCCUCUUCCUUUAAAAGGUUUUGACCUCAAA